UGCAGUUUGAUCUCUGACUGCUGUGCUAGCAAUCAGUGAGACUCCCUGGGCAUAGGACCCUCCGAGCCAGGUGGGGGUUAUAAUCUCGUGGUGCGCCGUUUUUUAAGCCCGUCGGAAAAGCGCAGUAUUCCGGUUGGAGUGACCCGAUUUCCAGGUGCUGUCCGUCACCCCUUUCUUUGACUGGGAAAGGGAACUCCCUGACCCCUUGCCCUUCCCAAGUGAGGCAGUGCCUCGCCCUGCUUCGGCUCGCGCACGGUGCACGCACUCACUGACCUGCGCCCACUGUCUGGCACUCCCUAGUGAGAUGAACCCGGUACCUCAGAUGGAAAUGCAGAAAUCACCCGUCUUCUGCGUCGCUCAAGCUGGGAGCUGUAGACCGGAGCUGUUCCUACUCGGCCAUCUUGGCUCCUCCCCGCCAAGCCUGUCAGUCAGAAUUCCAUUGCAUGCCUGUUCUUGAACAACCAUGGUCAAGGAGACAAGAUUCCUGAUGACUGACUCACACUAAUCAAAACUCAGCCACUGGUCCUAGCAAACUUCAUGAGAUGAGAGUGGAGAGUGUCCCAUCUCAUCUUAAGCAUAUGACUGUCCCAUACCCAUACAAAAUCAGGUUCUUUGCACAAAGAACAAUAGAGGUGAAUGACCAAUGAGUAAUCAAAGAGAGAGUUUUUCAGAAUAUGACUGCAUUUGGAAAUAGGGACUUUAAAGAGGUGAUUAAGUUACAAUGAGGCCACUAGAGAAGACAAUUAUCCAUUUGGACUGAUGUGCUUAGAAGAAGAGCAUAUUGGUAAAAAGAGACACCAGAGGUACAACAGCACAGAGAAAGACCAUGUGAGGACAUAGUGAGAAGAUGGCCAUCCCAUCUGCAAGCCAAGGACAGAGGCCUCAGGAGAAACCAACCCUGAUGACACCUUGAUCUUGGACUUCACAGCCUCCAGAACUAACAUACUCAAGUGUCUCAGCUCAACAUUUGGAGAUGAGCCAUCCUCCUCUUAUUGUAAGAAAAGCUUGAAGGAGUAUUUUCACAGCGAUGGAACUGGAAGUUAAGGCAACUUCUAUCAGCAUCAAGAAAAGAAAAGAAGUAUUCACCACUUACGAAACAACAUCUCUCUUCUCAUCAAUAGUUUGAUUUACAGCAUCUACUGCAGAAGACCUCAAUAAUGCAUAAGAACAUCUGGAAGUACGGUAAUUUCAGCUAUCAGAGAUAAGAAUUGACACAGAACAGAGGAUCAUAGAAAUUCAUAAACAGAGGAUGAAGAAACACAGAAGACAGAGGAAGGAUUUAGUUUUGGGAACAUGUGCUAAUGGCCAUCAAACAAUUCUGAAAUAACUGAAAGAGAACCUUUGAAACACCCUUUAGAUUAAGAGCCUGGCUUGUAAUCUGUAACAACAAACGGUAUUACAAUGAGGUAAGAACUCUACUACAUCUGUUUCUAUUAUUAGGAUUGCUACUGAUACUAAUAAUUAUCAUUAUUAUUGCUAACACUUAUUGAGUGCUCGGAAUAUACCAGAAACUAUUCCAAGUGGUUCAUGUAAUGACUCAAUAUAUGUGUAAAGAUUUAGAACUGUGAUUGAUGCAUAUUAAAUGCUCACAAAGGUUAACUACUAUUAUUAUGUACAAUAAGAUAAAAACUAUUACUAUUGUGCAUAGGCAAAAACUAAGAAUGUUUAAGUAACUUUCCCAGGGUUGUGCUUCAUGCUGCUAACAAAUGACAUUAUUAAGAUUUGAACCAAGUUCGUAUGACUCCUGUCCAUAUUCUUAACAUUAAUUCCACACUUAU
rnacentral:lncRNA from 10 species